GAUGAACGCUGACGGCGUGCCUAAUACAUGCAAGUCGAGCGAACGGACGAGAAGCUUGCUUCUCUGAUGUUAGCGGCGGACGGGUGAGUAACACGUGGAUAACCUACCUAUAAGACUGGGAUAACUUCGGGAAACCGGAGCUAAUACCGGAUAAUAUUUUGAACCGCAUGGUUCAAAAGUGAAAGACGGUCUUGCUGUCACUUAUAGAUGGAUCCGCGCUGCAUUAGCUAGUUGGUAAGGUAACGGCUUACCAAGGCAACGAUGCAUAGCCGACCUGAGAGGGUGAUCGGCCACACUGGAACUGAGACACGGUCCAGACUCCUACGGGAGGCAGCAGUAGGGAAUCUUCCGCAAUGGGCGAAAGCCUGACGGAGCAACGCCGCGUGAGUGAUGAAGGUCUUCGGAUCGUAAAACUCUGUUAUUAGGGAAGAACAAAUGUGUAAGUAACUGUGCACGUCUUGACGGUACCUAAUCAGAAAGCCACGGCUAACUACGUG
rnacentral:rRNA from 1 species